rnacentral:rRNA from 1 species
GUCUUUUUGGUAAUAAUUUAAAGUCUAAUCUGCCCACUGAUAAAAUUAAAGGGCUGCAGUAAUUUGACUGUACAAAGGUAGCAUAAUCAUUUGUUUUUUAAUUGAAAACUUGUAUGAAAGAUUUGAUGAAAUAUAAACUGUCUCAUAUUUAUUAUUAAAAAUUUAUUUUUUAGUUAAAAAGCUAAAAUAUUUAUAAAAGACGAGAAGACCCUAUAGAGUUUUAUAUUUUUUCAAAUUUUAAAAUUAUAAAAAAUUUAAAAUUAAGAUUGGGUAAAAUAUUAUAUUGGGGUGAUAGAAAAAUUAAAUUAACUUUUUUUUUAAGGAUUAAUAUUAAUAAAUAGGUAAAUGAUCCAUAAAUAAUGAUUAAAAGAAGAAAUUACCUUAGGGAUAACAGCGUAAUAUUUUUUUUUAGUGCAAAUAAAAAAAAAAGUUUGCGACCUCGAUGUUGGAUUAAGAUAAAAUUUAAAUGCAAAAGUUUAAAAUUUUGAUCUGUUCGAUCAUUAAAAUCUU